AUCCUGACCGGGGCACCUUUGCCAGCAACCGGCCCCACGUGGAGCCCCCCUCCACCCUUUCCCUCUGUGUGGCGGAAGCAGCUGCAGCCAGAGGCAGCCUUUAGAAUAGAGCUGGUGACAUUGAUGGAUGGCCAGGGCCUCAAGGCUGCUGCUGGGCCACCUGAUGCUCCCUAAGGGGCAGGUUGUAAUCCACCUGUGAGAGUCACUCAGUCCAGUUGGGCGCCAGCUUUUCCUCUUCAACCAGAGAUGAGGAGUUCAUCUUUGGGCAGAGAGCAUCAGAACACAGCUUGUGAGCACAUGUGUGAUUCGAAACUUUCUAGGGCAUAAUGGUACACGCCUGUGACCUCAGCACGGGAGAGGCUGAAGCAGGAGAAUGGCUUCAAGUUCAAUGUUAACCUGGGGCUACAGAGUGAGACCCUGUCUCAAAAGACCAAACCAAACUAAAAC